rnacentral:tRNA from 1 species
GGGGAUUUAGCUCAGUGGUAGAGCGCUUGCCUAGGAAGCGCAAGGCCCUGGGUUCAAUUCCCAGCUCCG